UGCCCCUCUCAAGUCACCUCCUAUGCGAUGCUCUGGCCGCGUCCGUGACUUGAUGCCUCUGCCUCCUCCAUUGUUUGCUUGCCUAUGAGCUCUAGAGCUCUCCUGAGCCCUCCUAGAGCCUAUAAAAGGAGGCCCCGUCCUCCCCCGCUCCUCAUCGCCUCCUCAGCCCAGCCCCAAGACCAUCGGAGCUCCCUGCCUCCUCCUCUGUCCGCCACGACCAUCGACGGACACCGCUCAAAUUGGAGCUAGCCGAGCCCCCUCUCGCCCUCUUGAGCUCACCGGAGUUCGCCCCUAGCCCCCCGAUCCUUCCCAUACCACCAGCCCCUCCCCUAUGCCUCUGUUACCGCGGAACCACUGGUGCCUGACGCCACCGUCCACCAUGGCCAAUGACCCACCCAUCCUAGCCCUCCCCGAAGACCGUGCGGCAUCCCAUCCGAAGCGCAGUGUCGCCCUGAGCAUUUUGGUAGCCGGGGCCUCGCCAGAGGUGACCGGAGCCGCCGAAACCAUCGCCGGAGCCCCGCUUCUGUCCUCUGUCGUUGCCGGUGCCAUGGCCCUCCCCCGCAGCUCCUGAUGGGCCUCUCCGGUGUGGCACUCCACAGCAAGCACCCCGGUGGUCCCAGCUCCAUCGGAGGUGGUCGAAGUCGCUGGGGCCAGCGCCAGCUACGCCACGGCCUCGCCUUUCCUCCGUCCCGCGAGCAGACGACUGGAGGUAGAAGAAGGAGCGAGAGGAGAGAGAAUGGAUAAGUUUGCAGGUCAUCCCGUGAUUCCUUGCUUGUCGUGGAUGUCGAGUUUGCGAGCUAGGAUAAGAGUUUUAGCCAGAGUCCCUGCGGAGUGGAGUCCAUCACCGUCUUCAUUGUUCCGCUGCUAGCAUAGAGCAACUUGAGCAAGUGUAGUGUCGUCGUGCCGAUGUAAUUCGUUGUGAUAUCAGAACCCUUGUAUAUGUAUCAUUUGUAAUAAAGAGUUGAUUUGUUC